rnacentral:lncRNA from 1 species
AACAUGUAGAGGGUAGAGGCCAGGGAUGCUGCUAAACAUCCUACAAGACACAGGACAGUUCCCACCACAAGGACUUAUCUAGGUGCAGAUGUCAAUACUGGGGAGGCCAUGAAACCCUGUCCUAGGCAACAGGCCAGUAGGCAAGAUGGCAGGGUGUCCUCCCUUCUGUCCCAAUCCACGAAACAUGGUUUGUUUGCAUGUGUAUGUGUGUGAUUUUUAUGUGACAAAAGUUGUGCUCAAAAUUGAGAGAGAUAAAAAGGAAUUUCACUGACUUAAGAGAGGAAAUAAAGUACAGUGGGUAAGAGUACUGACUCAAGAGCCUGACUUCCCUCCAUUCAAACCCCAGCCCCAUCACUCACGAGCUGUGUGUACCUGGGCAAGUUCCAUAUCCUCUUUGGAUAUUUUCUCCUCUGUAACAUACUCCCAGACAGCCGGACAUACAUUGUAAUCUUGCGAUGAUUAAAUGAAUUCUUACAUAGAAAGUCUUUGAGUAAACCUGCCACAUAGUAAAAACUAAGUUUUUCUUCCCUCUCUCUUCCUUUCUCUUUCUCCUUCUCUCCCUAUAUGCUACUUAAGAUGCCUGGGACAGAUUAUGAGUCCUCAGACCAAAAGAGGCUUGACUUUCCACAAAGGGGAGCAAGAGACCUGGCAGCAAUGUGGUUUAUGGAAAAGAGUCCGGGAAAACAGAAGAGGAGAAAAUACUACCCAAUUUGUUUUAUGAAGCGAAUAUUGUCCGGAUACCAAAACCAGACAAAGAUAGUUUAAAACAAGCCAAAACUACAGGCCAAAAUCUUUCCUGAACAUAGACACAAACAUCCUUAACAAAGCAUUAGUGAAUACAAUUCAGCAAUAUAUAAAAAUAAUUAUACAAUAUAACCAAGGGAGUUUAUUUCCAGAAUGCAAGACUGACUCAAUAUACCAAAAUUGAGCACCACAGUAACACACUGAAAAAGAAAAAUCACAAAUAUAUUAAUUGUUGCAAAAAAGUCAUGUGAGAGAAUUCAGCAGCCAUUCAUGGUAACAACUCUCAGAACAGCAGGAACACAGAGGAGUAUCAUCAAUUUGAUAAUGGACAUCUAUUAAAACACUACUACAGCUAACAU